rnacentral:ribozyme from 1 species
AUAGAACAAAAAAAUAAAGAAAAGAAUACCAAACACAAACAGAUAAAACAAACUCAAAUCAAAACUCGGCGGGGCUUAUUUUAUUGCUUGUUGUUCUCUGUCUGUGAGACACACACCGUUCGCCUCUCUUUUCUCCCCUCUCUCUCGUCCAA